GCCCACGAUGCGUAGUCGGCGACGCACCGCCCCGGUAAGGCGGAGAGCCGGGUUCGAUUCCCGGCGGGGGCUCCA
rnacentral:tRNA from 2 species